rnacentral:rRNA from 1 species
UAGCCGUUGUUUCUUGGAUCCUCAAUUUACUUGGAUACCUGUGGUAAUUCUAGAGCUAAUACAUGCGACUAAGGGCCGAACUCACGUGACGCUUGCAUUUAUUAGAUCAAGACUAACCGGCUUCGGCCGUUAACUUGGUGACUCUGAAUAACUCAGCUGAUCGCACGGUCUAGUGCCGGCGACAUAUCUUUCAAGUGUCUACCUUAUCAACUGUCGAUGGUAGUUUAUGUGACUACCAUGGUUGUAACGGGUAACGGAGAAUCAGGGUUUGACUCCGGAGAGGGAGCCUGAGAAACGGCUACCACUUCUAAGGAAGGCAGCAGGCGCGCAAAUUACACAAUCUCAGCACGAGGAUGUAGUGACGAAACAUACCGAGGCGAUGCCCUUUCGGGUGUCGUCAUUGGAAUGAGUCGAAUCUAAAAAAUUCGGCAAGGAUCUAGUGGAGGGCAAGUCUGGUGCCAGCAGCCGCGGUAAUUCCAGCUCCGCAAGUGUAUAUCUAUGCUGUUGCGGUUAAAAGCUCGUAGUUUGAUUCGCGUACUUAGCACGCAGUGUGGCCUUUCGGCUACUACUGUGAUGCGGNNAUUAUCGUCAGUUUGUCGUUGAUGCUCUUCAUUGGGUGUCAGCGGCGGCUGUCANGUUNCUUUGAANAAUUAANGUGCUCAUACAGGCGUUUGCUUGUAUAGUUCUGCAUGGAANNUAGAUAGGACUUACGUUCUAUUGUGUUGGUUUCAGAACUGAUUAGAGGGACAGACGGGUCAUUCUACUGCCCGUUAGAGGUGAAAUCUUGGAUCGUGGCAGAC